rnacentral:rRNA from 1 species
UACGAAGGGGGCUAGCGUUGCUCGGAAUUACUGGGCGUAAAGCGCACGUAGGCGGCUUCUUAAGUCGGUGGUGAAAUCCUGGAGCUCAACUCCAGAACUGCCUUCGAUACUGAAGCUCGAGUCCGGGAGAGGUGAGUGGAACUGCGAGUGUAGAGGUGAAAUUCGUAGAUAUUCGCAAGAACACCAGUGGCGAAGGCGGCUCACUGGCCCGGUACUGACGCUGAGGGGCGAAAGCGUGGGGAGCAAACAGG